GCCUUCGUGGUGUAAUGGUCAGCACACUGAGCCAGUAAUUCAGAGGUCCGCGGUUCGAUCCCCGGCGAAGGCG
rnacentral:tRNA from 1 species